GGGUUAGUAAAGGUUUCGACAGGGGUCUUGCAGCUGGAGAAGCUAUCCGCAGGCGAUGCGUCAAAUCGCAAAUCUAAAUAUAAACGCUGAAGAUAAUUUAGCAUUUGCUGCCUAAUGGCAGCUGUCCGCUCUAGUGCACCUACACAUUAGAAUCCGGGCAUCGACUCUGUAGGAAACGACACAGGCUAAGCUUUGCACCUGUGGGCGUAUCAUGAAGCUACUGAACGAAUCAGGGUGUCAGUUUCCUGAUUCGGGAGGGAACGAGGGGUAUCCCGCAACAACUGACUAUGAUAGUAGAAGGACAGGGAAUGGGUCUUUGGACGCGGGUUCGACUCCCGCCUAAUCCACUU
rnacentral:tmRNA from 1 species